UUGCUGAUUGCAACUCCAAAGUAGUAUAAGCAACUGAGCGUAGUUCAAAUGUUGAUUUGACCUACGGUGAGCAAGCAUUAGCUGGUUUAGAGAAGAAAUUUAAUCAGAGAGUUUUCUCCAUUUUAGCAUAUGCUUAUGUCUGCUUAUCAGUUACCAUGUUUUGAAUGAGGAAAUCUGAUGUAUUAGUACCGACUCGCAAACCAUACAUCACCUUAUUUUUAGUGGCUAAAUAGCCAUUUGAUAUGAGAACAGAGUUGAGCAUUUGGUACCAUGUUUUCAUUUGAAGUCAAUAGGGAUAGAAUAACUGGUUAUAGCUUGUGGAUGUUCUCAGUUGUUUUUUGCACACAAGGUGUUUGUGUGUUUGUCCGAGCCAGUUUUUUUUUGCACACAAGGUGUUUGUGUGUUUGUCUAAGACAGUUUCAGUCACAGAUGCUUGAGGUAAACUCUCAUAUAAAUACAUCAUGAGACUAACUCUCCUUCCAUAUGAUUCAAAAAAUGGUAUGAUGGUGGGAGUCAAUCUGGUAACUAAACUAAUGUCACGUGGGUGUGUGCAUAUGGAUGUGCCUUAGUUGUUCACAGCCAGAUGAACUGGGUUG
rnacentral:lncRNA from 1 species